rnacentral:rRNA from 1 species
UACGUAGGGGGCAAGCGUUGUCCGGAAUCAUUGGGCGUAAAGAGCGUGUAGGCGGCCCGGUAAGUCCGCUGUGAAAGUCCAGGGCUCAACCCUGGGAUGCCGGUGGAUACUGUCGGGCUCGAGUCCGGAAGAGGAGUGUGGAAUUCCUGGUGUAGCGGUGAAAUGCGCAGAUAUCAGGAGGAACACCAAUGGCGAAGGCAGCACUCUGGGACGUGACUGACGCUGAGGCACGAAGGCCAGGGGAGCAAACGGG